rnacentral:rRNA from 1 species
UACGUAGGAGGCGAGCGUUGUCCGGAUUUACUGGGCGUAAAGGGCGCGCAGGCGGCCCACCAAGUACGAUGUGAAAUCUCCCUGCUCAACGGGGAGGGUGCACUGUAAACUGGUGAGCUAGAGGACGGUAGAGGGGGGUGGAAUUGCUGGUGUAGCGGUGAAAUGCGUAGAGAUCAGCAGGAACACCCGUGGCGAAGGCGGCCCCU